GUCUCCUGGAUACCAGGCCCAGGGCCCUCAUUAGGAUUCAUGGCGCCUCUGACAUCACUGGUGCUUUUGUGAUGCAAACCUCCACGUUGUCUAAGCGCAGGAGGGGCCCCUGGAUCUGUGUGUCCCUGUUACUGUGCACGCCCACGAAAUGGGACACGCAGAUGCGCCCACGCAGGACUAAAUGAAUAACUGGCUAAAACGCCUUCCAUUCCUGCUGGAAUUUAGACCAGGUGCCUUGGCCACCUGGAUGAACACAACACCCCAGGAAGAGUAGGACAAGAAGAGGGGCAAGGCUUGGUCCCCAACUCCUUGGAGUUUCAGGAGUGACCAGCCCGCAGCCCGCGGCCUGAGAGACCCAGAAGAGCCCCGGGGGUCCCCUGUCCCUUCCCUGGCUGUGCUCUGAAGUCACACCAGCCACAUGUCCCGGGCCCUGUCAUGAUCCGUCGUGGAUGGUUACCACCCUGGGCCGUGCAGAUGCAGAGCAUCUCCAUCAUCGUAGACGGUUUCCUGGGACGACACUGGCCUGCACAGACAAGGUCCUGAAUCCAGCAAGUCAUCAGGUCUGUGCUGCUGUCAUGUGAUAUGACCUCUGCUGUGUCUGGCAAGUCCCUUCACCUCUGCCUUGUAAGGCCACUCGUGAUGCAUGUAGGGUCCCCCUGGGAAAUCUCAGUGAUUGUCUCAUCUCAAAAUCCUUAAUUAUAUCUAUAAAUACUCUUUUUUUUGGGUAAGGUCACCUUUACAAGAUCCAGGGAUUAGAGACCUCGAUGUCUCCAUGUGGUUGUUCCUCAACCUGCUUGUUAGAUGCUGAUCCAUCACCUGCUUUGUCUUAAUGUCAUAUUUGUGAUGUUCUGGUCCCUAACCACUUCAGCGCCUGAGAGAAAGGGGAACCAGCUGUAAAAAGGAAAUACUUCUCUUAAUUACCUUUGUACCCAGAGUGUGCUCUGGGCAAGGAGCCGAGGUGGUGGGAUGUUUAAGAAAGCAAGAGCCAUCAAUCAUGCUGGCCCUGCUGCUGGCCGACUUGCCUCCUGCAGACCCUGUCACCAUGGCCGUAGGUGGCAUGUGAUCAAUCGUUUCUCUGGGAGCUCUGAGUGACGCUGUCUCCUGUGAGAUGAGAGUCCACGAGCAACGGCCUCUGGAGGGAAUGUUCUAGAAGGGGCUGGCCCCAGGGCCUCCCUCUGCUGGGUAUAGGGGUAUAAGGAGAGCUCAUAGGGGAUACUUUGACCCACCAGGCAGCCCAUGUACUCCUCAGACCACGGAUUCAGCAACAGCACGGAUUAUUCUGGAGACCACGCUUCCUCCGUGUAGGCAGGAGGGAAGAGGUCCCUGACAAGACCCCCAACUCCAUGCCUGUCUGCUCACAGCCGCUCUGCCAUCACCCCCUGGAGACAGCGGGCUGGCUCCCUUUCACCUUCGUCCUGCCCAGGUCGCCCCCAAAGGCCCCUGGGACCCUGGUCCUCCCUCAUCCCCAGGCUAACCCCACAGCUGUGGGGCCAGAGAAGACCCCCCAAUCCCCUGGACCCCCUUUCUUCUUCCCACAGCAUGUCCAUCUUGCCUAUACCCCGCGUCUUGCUCAUUUACCUGGCUGAUUCUAGAAUGCAAGCUCCUGCAGUCAGGGCUUUUGUCUGGAGAUUGUCACCUCGUGCAAGACUCGCAGCAGCUCAAGGAGAGGGAGUAGCCCCAUGUGCCCCGCACCCUGUUUCCGAACGGGGUUCAGAGCAGCAGGUGGCUCGUGAGGAAGGGCUCGUGAGGGUGGAGCGUCUGCUGGGGUCGGGCUGGGGCUCUGCUCCCCGCAGACUCUGCAUGGCCUUGCAGAGCCGGCCUGGGGAGCGUGAGGGGACACUCAGUUGCGGCCCGAGCACCACUGGCCCCCCGCUCUCCGGACGGGCCAUGGGACAGGCCAAGGGGGGCCUGCUCAGAGGGUGUGAGGGAUCACCGGACACCCGGCUCCCCGCACUCGGGUGGUGGGUGCAGUGCUCCCGGCCACUGAGGUCGCGCUGCGGGGACCCCCCAGGUCUGAGCUCGUGACAAGGCCGCAGCGCCCGGAGGUGUGGCCG